UACGUAGGGUGCGAGCGUUGUCCGGAAUUAUUGGGCGUAAAGGGCGCGUAGGCGGCCUGACAAGUGGAAGGUGAAAUCCCUCGGCUUAACCGAGGAACUGCCCUCCAAACUGUUUGGCUUGAGACCGGGAGAGGUGAGUGGAAUUCCCAGUGUAGCGGUGAAAUGCGUAGAUAUUGGGAGGAACACCAGUGGCGAAGGCGGCUCACUGGACCGGUACUGACGCUGAGGCGCGAAAGCGUGGGGAGCAAACGGG
rnacentral:rRNA from 1 species